AUUGAACGCUGGCGGCAUGCUUUACACAUGCAAGUCGAACGGUAACAGGCCGCAAGGUGCUGACGAGUGGCGAACGGGUGAGUAAUGCAUCGGAACGUGCCCAAUCGUGGGGGAUAACGCAGCGAAAGCUGCGCUAAUACCGCAUACGAUCUAUGGAUGAAAGCGGGGGACCGUAAGGCCUCGCGCGAUUGGAGCGGCCGAUGUCAGAUUAGGUAGUUGGUGGGGUAAAGGCUCACCAAGCCAACGAUCUGUAGCUGGUCUGAGAGGACGACCAGCCACACUGGGACUGGGACACGGCCCAGACUCCUACGGGAGGCAGCAGUGGGGAAUUUUGGACAAUGGGCGCAAGCCUGAUCCAGCAAUGCCGCGUGCAGGAAGAAGGCCUUCGGGUUGUAAACUGCUUUUGUACGGAACGAAACGGUCCUGGUUAAUACCCGGGGCUAAUGACGGUACCGUAAGAAUAAGCACCGGCUAACUACGUGCCAGCAGCCGCCGUAAGAC
rnacentral:rRNA from 1 species